rnacentral:lncRNA from 1 species
UGUGCACAGUAUGGUGGAAAGAGAAUUAUAGGGAGUCAGGAAACAAAAACUAUAGUCUGGGUUUUGUCAUUUUUAAAGUGGGUAACUGGAGGAAAGCAACUUAACCUCUCUUAACCUAUGAUGACUCUGCAAACUAGAAAUAAUAAUUUUUUGCCCUUCCUGCUUCCCAGAGUUGUGGAGAAGAUGAUCGAAGAAAAUGCCUUGAAAAACAGCAAAUUUCUACAAAUGUAUGGUGCUAUCAUUGACCGUAGUAGGGCCCAGCAUAUAGUACACAGAGUGUUUACUGGGUAUAAUUAUGGAUACUGAAGAAUAAACAGAGAAAGGAACAGACAUAGAAACCCACAAAAGUUGAAUAAAAUGUAGACUCACAUAACUUAUGUGGAUAUAUACUUUUCCUCAUUACAAGAAAAUAAAUUACCAAAAAGAUAUGAAUGUUGAAUAAUAUAAGAACACUAUCUUUUUCAUUUAUGAAAUAUAAACAAUGCAAAAAGCACCUCUAUUAUUUGUGCAGUCAUUUCUGAACGUGUCCAAGCUGGAAUAAGUGGUAGACUGGCUGGGCUGAUUUACACUGGGAAGGGCACAGUAAGUACAGAAGAAAUGACCUUAAGGGGAGAAGGGAGUGAUGAGGGAAACAAAAGUCUGUGUGGUGGAUUUGAAAGUGAGGGAUCAUUUGAGAAAAGAGAU